AACGAACGCUGGCGGCAUGCCUAACACAUGCAAGUCGAACGAGACCUUCGGGUCUAGUGGCGCACGGGUGCGUAACGCGUGGGAACCUGCCUUUAGGUUCGGAAUAACUCAGAGACAUUUGAGCUAAUAUCGGAUGAUGUCCUCUGACCACAGAUUUAUCGUCUUUAGAUGGGCACGCGUUGUUUUAGCUAGUUGGUGGUGUAAGGGCCUCCCACGGCGACGAUCCAUAGCUGGUCUGAGAGGCUGAGCAGCGACACUGGGACUGAGACACGGCCCAGACUCCUACGGGAGGCAGGAAUGGGUAAUAUUGAACAAUCGGCUAAGUCCAGAACGACCUAGGCUGGUUGAGUGAUGAAGUCCUGAGAGUAGAAAAGCUCGUUUAUCCGACGUGAUAAUGACGGUACCGAAAGAAUAAGCACCGGCUAACUCCGUG
rnacentral:rRNA from 1 species